rnacentral:rRNA from 1 species
CCGACUAAUGUUGAAAAAUUAGCGGAUGACCUGUGGCUGGGGGUGAAAGGCCAAUCAAACCGGGAGAUAGCUGGUUCUCCCCGAAAGCUAUUUAGGUAGCGCCUCGUGAAUUCAUCUCCGGGGGUAGAGCACUGUUUCGGCUAGGGGGCCAUCCCGGCUUACCAACCCGAUGCAAACUGCGAAUACCGGAGAAUGUUAUCACGGGAGACACACGGCGGGUGCUAACGUCCGUCGUGAAGAGGGAAACAACCCAGACCGCCAGCUAAGGUCCCAAAGUCAUGGUUAAGUGGGAAACGAUGUGGGAAGGCCCAGACAGCCAGGAUGUUGGCUUAGAAGCAGCCAUCAUUUAAAGAAAGCGUAAUAGCUCACUGGUCGAGUCGGCCUGCGCG